rnacentral:rRNA from 1 species
AGAGUUUGAGUCCUGGCGUCAGGAUGAACGCUGGCGGCGUGCUUAACACAUGCAAGUCGAGCGAAGCGCAUAAGUUUGAUUCUUCGGAUGUAAGAUUUUGUGACUGAGCGGCGGACGGGUGAGUAACGGCGUGGGUAACCUGCCUUACACAGGGGGAUAACAGUUAGAAAUGACUGCUAAUACCGCAUAAGACCCCGGUACCGCAUGGUACAGAGGUAAAAACUGAGGUGGUGUAAGAUGGACCCGCGUCUGAUUAGGUAGUUGGUGAGGUAACGGCUCACCAAGCCGACGAUCAGUAGCCGGCCUGAGAGGGUGGACGGCCACAUUGGGACUGAGACACGGCCCAGACUCCUACGGGAGGGCAGCAGUGGGGAAUAUUGCACAAUGGGGGAAACCCUGAUGCAGCGACGCCGCGUGAGCGAUGAAGUAUUUCGGUAUGUAAAGCUCUAUCAGCAGGGAAGAAAAUGACGGUACCUGACUAAGAAGCCCCGGCUAACUACGUG